UCGAAGAAUAAUUAGAAGUAAAAGAAAUAAAGUCACAUUUGGUGAAAAAGGAGUUAAAAUGACAGUUAAGGAGUAAAAAUGCGGGUAAAUAAAGUUACCCGAAAGUAAAAAGUAAAAUUAUAAAUUUUAGCAUAAAAAUAUUCUGGACUAGUGUGCAAAGUUUAGUAAUGAAUGGAGGUGUGUAGAUAGAUAAACCUUUACCCAGUUAAAAUAAGUUAACUUUAUAAAAGCCAUAACUCCCUUUAAAGUUCUCUCUCAUGCGUUGCUUUUCUUCAUUCUUCUCGUCAUUCCCGUGGUUGUCUCACAUGGAAGGUUUGGCUUAGGUUUCAUUUUGUUUUCUUUCUUCCUUCCAUUCUCACUCAUUUGAUCAUCAAAAAGCUUUAUGCUACACAUGAAACUCAUAGGAAAAGGUCCAAUGAAUCCAUUCCCACCAUUAGUUUGAACUAUCAUUGUUUGUGUGAGGAGAUAUUCUCUUCCCCCUUUGCGUGGCACUAUUCAUCAAGAAGGCAAAAUGGAGCUUUUGAUGGAGAUUCUCUUGGUGAAUGUCUUCUAGGUUUUGGAUAGGUGAUUAGAGGUGUGCCUAGGGAUUGAGAAGGAUCGGAAAUCUCUUGAAGCGAUAAAAGUAACUUGUUCCACAAGUAAGCGUAUUGGUAAAGCUUCAAGAGGUAAGCUCUAUGUUUAAGGAGUCUUUUCCUGCUUGAGUGCUCCACCAUGGUUAGUGAACUAUGGUUGGACUGUAUGACUGUGAUUUAGAUGCUUUGUAUAGAUGCAUUCAUAUAGAGUUAUUUGAUAACAUGAUAUGUUUUGCUCUGAUAUGACUUCUGUAAUUUGAUUUCUGUAACAAUCUCUGGCCAUUGAUUGUAUAGUACCCGGACGUCCGCUUUGGGGUCCUCCUUCGGGACUGAUGGUGUACUCCUCUGAUAUGUCUGGUUCCGCUUUGGGGUCCUCCCUCGGGAACACGUGCGUUGAUUUCCGCUUGGGGUCCUCCCUUGGGAAUGACGGCGCACAUCUCUGAUAUGAUAUGGAUAUAUGCUCUGUUCUGUUAUGAUAUCUGUUAUAUGUUGUAUUCGUAUACUUUGUAUCUGACUUUCAUGCAGGAGUGAGCCAGGGGUAUGGAGAAUUCUCUAUAAACCUGGAGCUUAUUGAGAUUUGUAAUCUCACCCCUCUUUGGGGACACAUUUUCAGGUGCCCAGAUUCCCGGUGAGUCCUCACUAGGCAGGGACACGACACGUGGCUGAGGCAGUUGAGAGAUCGGAUUUUGAGUGGCUGUAGGCUACUACCUUUUUGGAGUGUUUGAUGUAUUUUAGUAUUUUCGCAUUUGAUGGAUCAUGAUAUUGAUCCUUUAUUUUGUAUAUGGCCUGUAUAUGUUUUGUACACGUCUGUCGCUUUGAUGCAUGUACAUUUGGGUAUUCAGGCACGUUAUGUGAUGAGGUAGUAUUCAGAUA